GACGAACGCUGGCGGCGUGCCUAAUACAUGCAAGUCGAGCGGAACUGGGGGAGCUUGCUCCUUCCAGUUUAGCGGCGGACGGGUGAGUAACACGUGGGCAACCUGCCCUGCAGAUCGGGAUAACUCCGGGAAACCGGUGCUAAUACCGAAUAGUUUGGCGCCUCUCCUGAGGCGCCACGGAAAGACGGUUUCGGCUGUCACUGCAGGAUGGGCCCGCGGCGCAUUAGCUAGUUGGUGGGGUAACGGCCCACCAAGGCGACGAUGCGUAGCCGACCUGAGAGGGUGACCGGCCACACGGGGACUGAGACACGGCCCAGACUCCUACGGGAGGCAGCAGUAGGGAUUCUUCCGCAAUGGACGCAAGUCUGACGGAGCAACGCCGCGUGAGUGACGAAGGUUUUCGGAUCGUAAAACUCUGUUGUGAGGGAAGAACACGUACCAACUAACUAUUGGUACCUUGACGGUACCUCACCAGAGAGCCACGGCUAACUACGUGCCAGCCGCCGCAGUAA
rnacentral:rRNA from 1 species